GCUGCUUGUCCCGUACCUUGGCUGGGUGGGUAGGUCUUGGAGCCUGCUAUCCAAAACCACCCCUGGGAAGCGCCCGCAACCCUUGGGGACGCCUCUCCUCCGGCUGCCCCCCUUCCCUGGAAUCCAGGUGUCACUGGGGCCGGGGAGGGGCUAGGAGCUCGGAUUUCUGCUUUGGGAAGUUUUUACAAGCCCACCCUCCCCCUGCCUUGGGUCCCGAGCCAAGAAUUUCAGAAAUCCGGGGCACAAAAACGCCAGUGUUUGCGGUCAAGGAUUAAAGGCGCGAGGUUGUCUUUAUUUAAUCUGCUCCGCCCUGCUCGGGUUUGCACGAAAAACCAAGCCUGGGAGCGACGGUCCACGCAAGCGGAGACACAGGGCUGAUGUAGAAAACCAGGAAUCUGAUUCCCAGGAUCACAAUUCAAGAUGAUGACCAGCUCAUUAAGAUGGCCAUUUAUGACUUUGCCCUUGAAAUGUUCAUGCAGGGAACUAGAAGGGCUUUGCAAGGUCAGUACAGUAUCAUAGACUGAGCAAAAGUCUGAAGAAAGUCCAAAACUAGCACUCAAGCCUACCUCCACGGAAGACCUACAAAUAGAAGCAUGGUUCGUCAGCAGUACACAGCUGAAAACUAUAACUGAAUUCAUCUGCCUAGAAGCCCACCUCAAAUGCUGCCCUGGUUAAGAGAGCAAGAUAAGCUGGAGAAAGGAGGGAUUGGAGAAAAUCGUUUUGACACCCAGCUGUACCAUUUAUAUCCUGUUUUGUUUUGUUUAAUAAAGUGAUACUAACAAUC